rnacentral:rRNA from 1 species
GACAGAGGGUGCAAACGUUGUUCGGAAUUACUGGGCGUAAAGGGCUUGUAGGCGGCCAACUAAGUCAUACGUGAAAUCCCUCAGCUUAACUGGGGAACUGCGUGUGAUACUGGAUGGCUUGGAUUUGGGAGAGGGAUGCGGAAUUCCAGGUGUAGCGGUGAAAUGCGUAGAUAUCUGGAGGAACACCGGUGGCGAAGGCGGCAUCCUGGACCAAUAUUGACGCUGAGGAGCGAAAGCCAGGGGAGCAAACGGG